UACGGGGGGAGCAAGCGUUGUUCGGAUUUACUGGGCGUAAAGAGCGCGCAGGCGGUCGGAUAAGUCGAAUGUGAAAGCCCCCGGCUCAACUGGGGAGGGUCAUUCGAUACUGUUCGACUCGAAGGCAGGAGAGGGAAGUGGAAUUCCCGGUGUAGUGGUGAAAUGCGUAGAUAUCGGGAGGAACACCAGUGGCGAAGGCGACUUCCUGGCCUGUUCUUGACGCUG
rnacentral:rRNA from 1 species